GCUUGUGGAACAUGCUUCAGUUCCCAUUCAAACUGUAGUUGUGAUGAGGGUCUGCUUGUGGAACAUGCUUCAGUUCCCAUUCAAACUGUAGUUGUGAUGAGGGUCUGCUUGUGGAACAUGCUUCAGUUCCCAUUCAAACUGUAGUUGUGAUGAGGGUCUGCUUGUGGAACAUGCUUCAGUUCCCAUUCAAACUGUAGUUGUGAUGAGGGUCUGCUUGUGGAACAUGCUUCAGUUCCCAUUCAAACUGUAGUUGUGAUGAGAGUCUGCUUGUGGAACAUGCUUCAGUUCCCAUUCAAACUGCGACUCUAAAAAAUAUUGUAUGCUAUGUAAGAUAAAUAAAGAGAAUGUUUUGUUACAAAAGUUUGGUGCAAAUGUAUGUAAUAUUUCCUGUUGUUUAACAGUAAUACUAUUUCACUAUUUUGUUAUCAGACACACUACCAUGUGCUAUGGCAAGUAUGACUGUAUUUCCACAUGUAAAGUGAAUAGUGACUUGGUCGCGGAGUUCAAUAAAUAGUAUAUAAAUAUAAUAUAUGCCACUGAGCAGACACAUUUAUCUAAAGCAACUUAUAACAGUGAGUAGGCCUACUUACAUUGUAUGUAUUGGCAACUCAGCAGGAAUUAAACACAACCCUGGCAUUCCGAGUGCCCAACCUUGAACUAACUUAGCCAGACAGGACAACGCAGAUCACAGGACUACAGAUGUAAUUUCCGCCAUAUUCUGAAUAAAUGGAACAGUCAACGAAAGGUGCUCAGAUUGCAAUUGAAUAAAUUAAAUGGUGUUUACAAAUAUAUUUUAAAGAAACAUUUCUGUUGACCAUCAUUGACAUUGCACUUACUCGUUUGCCUUCUGCUGAAAGUAUGGGUAGCUGCAGCCCAGUAUGGCAACUGGAGUGUGGGUGAGUGGGUGUGUCGCCAGGAGUGGAUGUAUGGAAUUCGAAUCAGCUAAUUGGGCAUAUUUGUUGCCACUCAAGCCCGUUUUGCGCAGCCGUGUUGUAUUGUGUUGUACAGCCAUGCCUGAGACCUGAUCAUAUCACAGUCAUGUUGUCGGCAGUAGCUAGUGUGGCCAUUUGAUUCCCUUCCAUGAUUUGAUUUCAAGUAGGAUAGCAGCCCACACAAUCAAUAACUAAUAUUGAUAACCAUCUAGACAUCACCUUGUACAGUGCCUUGCGAAAGUAUUCGGCCCCCUUGAACUUUGCGACCUUUUGCCACAUUUCAGGCUUCAGAGCUAACUUCCCACAUGACAGAGAAAAAAAUACCUCAGUGCUGCUGCACGUGACGACGACCUCUAUCCACAUCACUAGCUUCUUCAACCCGGAGUCAGCCGCCGUGCCAACCACCUUCUCUGCUACCAAGCAAACAUUGAUUGUGGUAAACAAGAAUGAAAUGCUAGAUGCUGGAGUAUCGUGGGCUCUGAAAGUGGCGAACUCACACUAUUCUUAUAAGUCAUGUGUAGACACGAGCCUCGUUUUCCCAACCAUGUUCCCGGACAGCCAAAUUGCAUGGAUAUUUGCAUGCGGCGAAAUAAUAUGUGCAUAUCUCAGUACAUUUGGGCUCGCACCUUACUUCAUUCAAGUCCCUCACAGUCAGAGAGUUGUCCAGGCAACGGACAUAUGUAAUGCUGUUUGACAAGAGCCUGAACCACCAAUUGCAAUCAAUGCAGAUGGGCAUGCAUGUGAGAGAGGGAGAGAGAGAGGAGAGAGAGUGAGAUGGUGAGUGAGUGAGUGUUAGAGAGAGAGUGAGUGUGUUAGAGUGAGUGUGUGUGUUGGAGAGAGAGAGAGUGUAACCAUACAUUUGGUUAGCAGAUGUUAACGCGAGUGUAGCGAAAUGCUUGUCCUUUAGUUCCGACAGUGCAGUAAUAUCUAACAAGUAAUCUAACAAUUACCCAACAACUACCUAAUACACACAAAUCUAAAGGGCUGAAUGAGAAUAUGUACAGUCGUUGCCAAAAGUUGAGAAUGACACAAAUAUUAAUUUUAAGAAAGUUUGCUGCCUCGGUGUCUUCAGACAUUUUUGUCAGAUGUUACUAUGGAAUACUGAAGUAAAAUUACAAGCAUUUCAUAAGUGUCAAAUGCUUUUAUUGACAAUUACAUGAAGUUGAUGCAAAGAGUCAAUAUUUGUAGUGUUGACCCUUCUUUUUCAAGACCUCUGCAAUCAGUCCUGACAUGCUGUCAAUUAACUUCUGGGGCACAUCCUGACUGAUGGCAGCCCACUCUUGCAUAAUCAAUGCUUGGAGUUUGUCAGAAUGUGUGGGUUUUUGUUUGUCCCCCUGGCUCUUGAGGAUUGACCACAAGUUCUCAACGUGAUUAAGGUCUGAGGAGGUUCCUGGCCAUGGACCCAAAAUAUUGAAGUUUUGUUUCCCGAGCCACUCAGUUAUUUAUCACUUUUGCCUUAUGGCAAGGUGCUCCAUCAUGCUGGAAAAUGCAUUGUUCGUCACCAAACUGUUCCUGGGUGGUUGGGAGAAGUUGCUCUCGGAGGAUGUGUUGGUACCAUUCUUUAUUCAUGGCUGUGUUCUUAGGCAAAAUUGUGAGUGAGCCCAGUCCCUUAGCUGAGAAGCAACCCCACACAUGAAUGGUCUCAGGAUGCUUUGCUGUUGGCAUGACACAGGACUGAUGGUAGCACUCACCUUGUCUUCUCCGGACAAGCUUUUUUCCGGAUGCCCCAAGCAAUCGGAAAGUUGAUUCAUCAGAGAGAAAAUGACUUUACCCCCUCUCCUUGAAGUUCUUGAUGAUCCGAUAAAUGGUUGAUUUAGGUGCAAUCUUACUGGAAGCAAUAUCCUUGCCUGUAAACCCCUUUUGUUCAAAGCAAUGAUGACGGCACGUGUUUCCUUGCAGGUAACCAUGGUUGACAGAGGAAGAACAAUGAUUCCAAGCACCGCCCUCCUUUUGAAGCUUCCAGUCUGUUAUUCAAACUCAAUCAGCAUGACAGAGUGAUCUCCAGCCUUGUCCUCGUCAACACUCACACCUGUUUUAACAAGAGAAUCACUGAUGUCAGCUGGUCCUUUUGUGGCAGGGCUGAAAUGCAGUGGAAAUGUUUUUUUGGGAUUCAGUUUAUUUGCAUGGCAAAGAGGGACUUUGCAAUUAAUUGCAAUUGAUCUGAUCACUCUUCAUAACAUUCUGGAGUACAUGGAAAUUGCCAUCAUACAAAUUGAGGCAGCAGACUUUGUGAAAAUGUAUAUUUGUGUCAUUCUCAAAACUUUUGGCCACGACUGUACAUAUAAAUAUAUGGAUGAGUGAUGGCCGAGCGGCAUCACUCAUAUCAUACAAUGUGGCAUUGUUUAAAGUGACAAGUGAUCCAUUUAUUAAAGUGGCCUGGGAUGGGGCUUCAAUGUAGGCAGCAGCAGCCUCUCUCAGUUAGUGAUGGCUGUUUAGCAGUCUGAUGGCCUUGAGAUGGAAGCUAUUUUUCAGUCUCUCUGUCCCAGCUUUGAUGUACCUGUACUGACCUCGCCUUCUGGAUGGUAGCGGUGUGAACAGGCAGUGGCUCGGGUGGUUGUUGUCCUUGAUGAUCUUUUUGGCCUUCCUGUAACAUCAGGUGCUGUCGGUGUCAUGGAGGGCAGGUAGUUUGCCCCUGGUGAUGCGUUGUGCAGACGGCACCACCCUCUGGAGAGCCUUGCAGUUGAGGCCGGUGCAGUUGUUGUACCAGGCUGUGAUACAGCCUGACAGGAUUCUCUCAAUUGUGUAUCUGUAAAAGUUUGGCAGGGUUUUAGGUGACAAGCCAAAUCUCUUUAGCCUCCUGAGGUUGAAGCACCACACUGCCUGUGUGGGUGGAUCGUUUCAGUUUGCCUGUGAUGUGUAUGUUUAAAACUUUCCACCUUCUCCACUGCUGUCCCUUCAAUUUGGAUGGGUGGUGCUCCCUCUGCUGUUUCCUGAAGUCCACGAUCAUCUCCUUUGUUGACAUUGAGUGAGAGGUUGUGUUCCUGACACCACACUCCGAGUGCCCUAACCUCCUCCCUGUCGGCUGUCUCGUCGUUGUUGUUACUCAGGCCUACUACUGUUGUGUCGUCUGCAAACUUGAUGAUUGAGUUGGAGGCGUGCAUGGCCAUGCAGUCGUGGGUGAACAGGGAGUACAGGAGGGGGCUGAGCACGCACCCUUGUGGGGACCCAGUGUUGAGGGUCAGGGAAGUGGAGAUGUUGUUUCCUACCUUCACCACAUGGGGGAGGCCCGUCAGAAAGUCCAGGAUCCAAUUGCAGAGGGGUUGAGACCCAGGGCCUCCAGCUUGAUUAUGAGCUUGGAGGGUACUAUGGUGUUGAAUGCUGAGCUGUUGUCAAUGAACAGCAUUCUUACAUAGGUAUUCCUCUUGUCCAGAUGGGAUAGGGCAGUGUACAGUGUGAUUGCGAUUGCAUCAUCUGUGGACCUGUUGGGGUGGUAUGCGAAUUGGAGUGGGUCUAGGAAGAUGGUGUUGAUGGUUUCAUGACCAGCCUUUCAAAGCACUUCUUCAUUACAGAUGUGAGUGCUACAGGGCGAUAGUCAUUUAUUCAUGUUACAUUGGAGCUCUUGGGAACAGGGACAAUUGUGGUCAGUUUUAAACAUUUUGGGAUUAUAGACUGAGACAAGGAGAGAUUGAAAAUAUAUAAAAAUAGGGGUGCGUGUGUGAGAGUCUGUGGAUUUCUUUAGAUAUUGUUAUGAAUUAAGGAAACAAUAAUACAAAUAUAUAUAAUAUAAAUAAGAAUAAUAUAUGCAUAUUAACAGCUGUAACAACGAUAAAUGUCCAACGGUGGUGGGGGCCGGGUAAAUGUUAGUUGGGACAGGUGGAGCAGGUGGCUUGUGUUGUUUCGGUGGGAAGAAGUUGUGUGUGUGCUGCUGCUCCAGUUUCAACUGUUCUGCCUGCGGCUAUGGAACCCUGACCUGUUCACCGGAUGUGCUACCUGUCCCAGACCUGCUGUUUUCAACUCUCUAGAGACAGCAGGAGUGGUAGAGAUACUCUGAAUGAUCGGCUAUGAAAAGCCAACUGACAUUUACUACUGAGGUGCUGACCUGUUGCACCCCCUACAUCCACUGUGAUUAUUAUUAUUUGACCCUGCUGGUCAUCUGUGAACAUUUGAACAUCUUGGCCAUGUUCCGUUAUAAUCUCCACCUGGUACAGCCAGAAUAGGACUGGCCACCCCUCAUAUCCUGGUUCCUCUCUAGGUUUCUUCCUAGGUUCUGGCUUUUCUAGGGAGUUUUUCCUAGCCACCGUGCUUCUACACCUGCAUUGCUUGCUGUUUGGGGUUUAGGCUGGGUUUCUGUACAGCACUUUGAGAUACAGUGCCUUGCGAAAGUAUUCGGCCCCCUUGAACUUUGCGACCUUUUGCCACAUUUCAGGCUUCAAACAAAGAUAUAAAACUGUAUUUUUUUGUGAAGAAUCAACAAUAAGUGGGACACAAUCAUGAAGUGGAACGACAUUUAUUGGAUAUUUCAAACUUUUUUAACAAAUCAAAAACUGAAAAAUUGGGCGUGCAAAAUUAUUCAGCCCCCUUAAGUUAAUACUUUGUAGCGCCACCUUUUGCUGCGAUUACAGCUGUAAGUCGCUUGGGGUAUGUCUCUAUCAGUUUUGCACAUCGAGAGACUGACAUUUUUUCCCAUUCCUCCUUGCAAAACAUCUCGAGCUCAGUGAGGUUGGAUGGAGAGCAUUUGUGAACAGCAGUUUUCAGUUCUUUCCACAGAUUCGCGAUUGGAUUCAGGUCUGGACUUUGACUUGGCCAUUCUAACACCUGGAUAUGUUUAUUUUUGAACCAUUCCAAUGUAGAUUUUGCUUUAUGUUUUGGAUCAUUGUCUUGUUGGAAGACAAAUCUCCGUCCCAGUCUCAGGUCUUUUGCAGACUCCAUCAGGUUUUCUUCCAGAAUGGUCCUGUAUUUGGCUCCAUCCAUCUUCCCAUCAAUUUUAACCAUCUUCCCUGUCCCUGCUGAAGAAAAGCAGGCCCAAACCAUGAUGCUGCCACCACCAUGUUUGACAGUGGGGAUGGUGUGUUCAGGGUGAUGAGCUGUGUUGCUUUUACGCCAAACAUAACGUUUUGCAUUGUUGCCAAAAGUUCCAUUUUGGUUUCAUCUGACCAGAGCACCUUCUUCCACAUGUUUGGUGUGUCUCCCAGGUGGCUUGUGGCAAACUUUAAAUGACACUUUUUAUGGAUAUCUUUAAGAAAUGGCUUUCUUCUUGCCACUCUUCCAUAAAGGCCAGAUUUGUGCAAUAUACGACUGAUUGUUGUCCUAUGGACAGAGUCUCCCACCUCAGCUGUAGAUCUCUGCAGUUCAUCCAGAGUGAUCAUGGGCCUCUUGGCUGCAUCUCUGAUCAGUCUUCUCCUUGUAUGAGCUGAAAGUUUAGAGGGACGGCCAGGUCUUGGUAGAUUUGCAGUGGUCUGAUACUCCUUCCAUUUCAAUAUUAUCGCUUGCACAGUGCUCCUUGAGAUGUUUAAAGCUUGGGAAAUCUUUUUGUAUCCAAAUCCGGCUUUAAACUUCUUCACAACAGUAUCUCGGACAUGCCUGGUGUGUUCCUUGUUCUUCAUGAUGCUCUCUGCGCUUUUAACGGACCUCUGAGACUAUCACAGUGCAGGUGCAUUUAUACGACUUGAUUACACACAGGUGGAUUGUAUUUAUCAUCAUUAGUCAUUUAGGUCAACAUUGGAUCAUUCAGAGAUCCUCACUGAACUUCUGGAGAGAGUUUGCUGCACUGAAAGUAAAGGGGCUGAAUAAUUUUGCACGCCCAAUUUUUCCGUUUUUGAUUUGUUAAAAAUGUUUGAAAUAUCCAAUAAAUGUCGUUCCACUUCAUGAUUGUGUCCCACUUCUUGUUGAUUCUUCACAAAAAUAUACAGUUUUAUAUCUUUAUGUUUGAAGCCUGAAAUGUGGCAAAGGUCGCAAAGUUCAAGGGGGCCGAAUACUUUCGCAAGGCACUGUAUCAGCUGAUGUAAGAAGGGCUUUAUAAAAACAUUUCAUUUGAUUUGUAGGGGUGUCCAUGUUGCUGGGGAUCGGGAGUGUCUGGUGCGAGAGAGGCAGGUUGAAAUGGCCAGAGUCAGAGUCAGAGUAGCGCAGAAGGUGACAUAUGCUGAGGCAGUGAAGAAAAUAGAGAAGUAUGAGCCAAGGGUGAGACAUCCUGAGAAGAUCCCAGUGAUUAUUAGAUUUGUGCCAGCACAGAGGGAUAGGCUAACGAGUGAUUUAUGCUUCAGUAAGGUUGGCUUCUUAGCGUUCAUAGCAAUGGUUAUCAACUGUACUGCAGAAAUGGAACGUAAAUCACAGACAAUAGAUGUAAAAAAUAAAAUAAAAUAAAAAGUGGAAAAAUGAUUGGAACCUUUUCCCUGUUUGACCACUAGAAUGUUAUGACAUCUCCACUGUGGGGCUCUGUAGUCUAGUUUGAAACUUUGUCAGUAAUUGGCCCAAGGUGGAGGGGAGACAUGUUUACUGUUGCCUUGUUGUAGGUGUUUAUAUUGUAAGUACUGAACAUGGAAUAAUAGAGAUAUUAUAGAUUUUGACUGCCAAAAUGCUGUUAUUAAUAUAAAUGACCAGAUUUGCAAAUGUAAUGUAUAACGAUACCCAACUACAUUGAAAAUAGUAGGUUGACAAAAACAUCUACUGACAGCAAUUAUAUCAUAAAUAUCAGGGGCCUGAUUUGAUCAUAAAUUGUGCAUACCGAUAUGUUGAAAUAAAAAAGUGAUUUAUAUGCCUGUCAAACUUAUUAUUCACGUUGGAUUUUGCAUGAAAAUGUAAAAAAUCAAAUAAACAUACAGUAUUUUUAAAGAACUGAGUUACGAAUGAAAUUACACAUUUCUAUAAAUUAGUUCCCAGAUAAAUGUAAAUGCACUGGUGCACUGAACAAAUACAUGGAAAAAUGAAUGCUAACAUGAUAAAAAUAAUAAUAAUUUAAAUCAUGCUGCCAGGUAACUUUCCCCAUCUCUCAGAACUGCAGAUUUUCCUGCUGAGAUCUAGAUUAGCUGGGAAGAGUUCAGCAGGAAACGCCAUCCUCGGCAGAGAUGAGUUUGACCUGAGGAGAGCUGCUCAGUGUGUGAAGAGAUGGAGAGACGUUGCAGGGAGGCAGGUCACUGUGGUCGACACUCCAGGCUGGUGGGGAAAUUACCCUGUAGUGUCCACUCCUGAGCUGAUUAAACAGGAGAUUGUGCUCAGUGUGUCUCAGUGUCCCCCAUGACCACACACUCUCCUCCUGGUCAUACGGGGGGGGGGAUGAUUCAUUCACAGAGGAACACAGAGAAGCAGUAGGGGAUCACCUGGAGCUUCUCAGGUGAGAGAGUCUGGAGUCACACUAUAGCGCUUUUCACAUAUGGGAAAAGACUGGGACAAACGACCAUUGAGCAGCAUAUUCAGAGAGAAGGGAAGGCUUGUUGAGAAAUGUGAUAACAGGUAUCAUGUCCUUAACACUAAGAACAGGGGAGAUGUCACAGCGCUGCUGGAGAAGAUAGAGAAGAUGGUGACAGUAAACAGAGGCCUUUAUAAGCUAAAGAGAGGGAUACUAGAAAAGAUUGAAGACAGAAGGAAAGCAGAGGAUGAAGGGAGUGAAACGGAGACUGAAGGUGCAGCAACAGAGAGAUCAUUGUGAGACUAAUGGGGAUGUUUAUCUGACGUUAAUGACGCUUGUCAAUUUUUAGAACAUUUUAUAGUUAUUUAGCUGAAAAACUUACCUAUUUUGCUCUGUGUCACAAUAUACUAUAAUUUCUGACACAGAGCUAAGGCAUAUGUCUUACAACAUACUGUAUGUCUCAUGUACAUGGCAACAGUCAAUGGAAUAUCAAUUUAGCAAACAGUUUAUUCCGAACAAUGGCCAUUUCAUUCCUAUAGUCAUGUAUGUCAUCACCUAAAAAGUCUGUUCUAUCUCUCUGCCAGGUGACUCCGUCCAUCUCUCAAUGCUGAGGAUUGUGCUGCUCGGGGCUAGAUUAUCUGGGAAGAGUUCAGCAGUGAGUGGAGAUGACUGAUCUGACUACCAGUCUCAGAGAACCUCUGCAUAUGGCUCCCUGAGCUCCAUAGCUGAAUCUGAGAUAAGAUCAGGAUCCACUGGAGGAAAUGGACGACUGAUGAUGCUGACAAAACCAGGAAAGAGAGCAGAGAACUAUCAGUGGCUUCCUCCUAACAUGAAUGAAGAUGACAGAUCUCGUAGCCAGUCUCUGGGAAGCUGUCAAAAUAAUUCUAUGAGUUUCAUAACUGAGUCUGAGACCAGCUCAAUACCCAGAGGAAAAUACAGGGGUCUGGAACAAUCUGCAUCAAUCAGGAAAGCUGACAGUAUGAAGUGGCUUCCGCCAAACAGUAAGAAGUAUUCUGACUAAGAUGUAGUACAGGGGUCCAUGCAGAGGAUAGUUCUGGUAAUCUGACAUUUUCUUAACAUUUAUAUAAUCUAUCCAAAAUGUAUUGAGCAUGAAAAUGAUAUUUUUUAUGUUUAGUUUAUAACCAUUGUGAUUAGGUUGAUCAACAUUGGUUCUCAUUUAGCUAAAUAUCUCCCUAUUUGAUUUCUAGAAAAACAUUCCUUUGUCUGAUCUUCCCCGUUUUAAUUUUGCUCCACUUUCUGGUCUGCUUCCUGUCUUUCAGUUUGGUGUAGGUUUUUCUUUUGAUUGCCUCUUCUGCAAAUUUAGUGGGUGGUCAUGGUGGGUGUCUUAGGUUCCAGUUGUUGUUGCUAGUCAACUUUCAGUGGACACCCCAUGAGUCUUUCAGAACCCCUCCUAAAAUAGUGGUGGAAAAGUAACCAAUCUUCAUACUUAAGUAAAAGUAAAGAUACCUUAAUAGAAAAUGACUCAAGUGAAAGUCACUCAGUAAAAUACUACUUCAGUAAAAGUCUAAAAAUAUUUGGUUUUAAAUAUACUUCAGUAUCGAAAGUAAAAGUAUAAAUCAUUUAAAAUUCCUUAUAUUGAACAACCCAGUAGUACUUUUUACUUAGGUACUUAACACCACUGCUAAAUCCCACUUGUUUGAUUUUGGUUGUGGUCAGUGACUUUUUGGUAGUUCCUCCUUCUGUUUGAGUGACAUUAUUUGGUUAUUAUUUGGUUUUCUUGCUGGGAAAAAGCCACUACAAAAUCCAGCUGAUAGGGGUAACUGUGCAAGAUAUUGUAUAUUGUAUAGAUAUUGUAUAUUAUUUUUUCUGUAGCACAGUUGGUAGAGCACGGCGCUUGUAACGCCAGGGUUAGUGGGUUCGAUUCCCGGGACCACCCAUACGUAGAAUGUAUGCACACAUGACUGUAAGUCGCUUUGGAUAAAAGCGUCUGCUAAAUGGCAUAUAUUAUUAUUAUUAUAUUAUUAACACUAACAAAGGGGGAGUGGUAGGACCUGUGUUUUUAGAUUUGCAAAAAUUAUUUUAUACUGUAAAUCAGUGUUCUACUUUCAAAACAUUCAAUGUUUAAUUUCUCUCCCAGUGCCUUAACAUGUAUGGAUUCAUAUUUAUCUGACAGAAUUCAGUGUGUUAGAAU